rnacentral:rRNA from 1 species
UAAAACGUAGGAGGCAAGCGUUAUCCGGAUUUACUGGGCGUAAAGCGCGUGCAGGCGGUUUGGUAAGUUGGAUGUGAAAGCUCCCGGCUCAACUGGGAGAGGUCGUUCAAAACUACCAGACUUGAGGGCGGUAGAGGGAAGUGGAAUUCCGUGUGUAGUGGUGAAAUGCGUAGAUAUACGGAGGAACACCAGUGGCGAAAGCGGCUUCCUGGACCGAUCCUGACGCUCAGACGCGAAAGCUAGGGGAGCAAACGGG